AUUGAACGCUGGCGGCAUGCCUUACACAUGCAAGUCGAACGGCAGCGGGGACUUCGGUCCGCCGGCGAGUGGCGAACGGGUGAGUAAUGUAUCGGAACGUACCAUUCAGUGGGGGAUAACUAUCCGAAAGGAUAGCUAAUACCGCAUAUUCUGUGAGCAGGAAAGCAGGGGAUCGCAAGACCUUGCGCUGAUUGAGCGGCCGAUAUCAGAUUAGCUAGUUGGUGAGGUAAAGGCUCACCAAGGCGACGAUCUGUAGCGGGUCUGAGAGGAUGAUCCGCCACACUGGAACUGAGACACGGUCCAGACCCCUACGGGAGGCAGCAGUGGGGAAUUUUGGACAAUGGGGGCAACCCUGAUCCAGCCAUGCCGCGUGAGUGAAGAAGGCCUUCGGGUUGUAAAGCUCUUUCGGCCGGGAAAAAAUCGCAUGGGUUAAUACCCUGUGGAUGAUGGUACCGGAAUAAGAAGCACCGGCUAACUACGUGCCAGCAGCCGCGGUAAUAC
rnacentral:rRNA from 1 species